rnacentral:rRNA from 1 species
UACGUAGGGUGCAAGCGUUGUCUGGAAUUAUUGGGCGUAAAGAGCUCGUAGGCGGUUUGUCGCGUCUGGUGUGAAAAUCCAGGGCUUAACCCUGGACCUGCAUCGGGUACGGGCAGACUAGAGUGCGGUAGGGGAGAUCGGAAUUCCUGGUGUAGCGGUGAAAUGCGCAGAUAUCAGGAGGAACACCGGUGGCGAAGGCGGAUCUCUGGGCCGUAACUGACGCUGAGGAGCGAAAGCAUGGGGAGCGAACAGG